GACGAACGCUGGCGGCGUGCCUAAUACAUGCAAGUAGAACGCUGAAGAGAGGAGCUUGCUCUUCUUGGAUGAGUUGCGAACGGGUGAGUAACGCGUAGGUAACCUGCCUUGUAGCGGGGGAUAACUAUUGGAAACGAUAGCUAAUACCGCAUAACAAUGGAUGACACAUGUCAUUUAUUUGAAAGGGGCAAUUGCUCCACUACAAGAUGGACCUGCGUUGUAUUAGCUAGUAGGUGAGGUAACGGCUCACCUAGGCGACGAUACAUAGCCGACCUGAGAGGGUGAUCGGCCACACUGGGACUGAGACACGGCCCAGACUCCUACGGGAGGCAGCAGUAGGGAAUCUUCGGCAAUGGGGGCAACCCUGACCGAGCAACGCCGCGUGAGUGAAGAAGGUUUUCGGAUCGUAAAGCUCUGUUGUAAGUCAAGAACGAGUGUGAGAGUGGAAAGUUCACACUGUGACGGUAGCUUACCAGAAAGGGACGGCUAACUACGUGCCAGCAGCCGCGGUAAUACGUAGGUCCCGAGCGUUGUCCGGAUUUAUUGGGCGUAAAGCGAGCGCAGGCGGUUUGAUAAGUCUGAAGUUAAAGGCUGUGGCUCAACCAUAGUUCGCUUUGGAAACUGUCAAACUUGAGUGCAGAAGGGGAGAGUGGAAUUCCAUGUGUAGCGGUGAAAUGCGUAGAUAUAUGGAGGAACACCGGUGGCGAAAGCGGCUCUCUGGUCUGUAACUGACGCUGAGGCUCGAAAGCGUGGGGAGCGAACAGGAUUAGAUACCCUGGUAGUCCACGCCGUAAACGAUGAGUGCUAGGUGUUGGAUCCUUUCCGGGAUUCAGUGCCGCAGCUAACGCAUUAAGCACUCCGCCUGGGGAGUACGACCGCAAGGUUGAAACUCAAAGGAAUUGACGGGGGCCCGCACAAGCGGUGGAGCAUGUGGUUUAGUUCGAAGCAACGCGAAGAACCUUACCAGGUCUUGACAUCCCGAUGCUAUUUCUAGAGAUAGAAAGUUACUUCGGUACAUCGGUGACAGGUGGUGCAUGGUUGUCGUCAGCUCGUGUCGUGAGAUGUUGGGUUAAGUCCCGCAACGAGCGCAACCCCUAUUGUUAGUUGCCAUCAUUCAGUUGGGCACUCUAGCGAGACUGCCGGUAAUAAACCGGAGGAAGGUGGGGAUGACGUCAAAUCAUCAUGCCCCUUAUGACCUGGGCUACACACGUGCUACAAUGGUUGGUACAACGAGUUGCGAGUCGGUGACGGCAAGCUAAUCUCUUAAAGCCAAUCUCAGUUCGGAUUGUAGGCUGCAACUCGCCUACAUGAAGUCGGAAUCGCUAGUAAUCGCGGAUCAGCACGCCGCGGCGAAUACGUUCCCGGGCCU
rnacentral:rRNA from 1 species